rnacentral:rRNA from 1 species
UUGCAGGCUGCAACUCGCCUGCAUGAAGUCGGAAUUGCUAGUAAUCGCAGAUCAGCAUGCUGCGGUGAAUACGUUCCCGGGCCUUGUACACACCGCUCGUCACACCAUGGGAGUCGGUAACACCCGAAGUCGGUAGCCUAACCGUAAGGAGGGCGCCGCCGAAGGUGGGAUUGAUGACUGGGGUGAAGUCGUAACAAGGUACC